rnacentral:tRNA from 1 species
GUGUUUUUAGUUUAUUAGAAUAUUGGCUUGUCUCGCCGAAGGUGGUUUUGGCCAAAGCACU